UUCAAAUGAAUUGAAUUCCCCUUUUGUUUGCUUGGGGUCCUACAUUUAACGAUGCAGAUUACAGGAUGACGGGUCAGCUCGUUAGGACUUUGCACGUACCAGCUAUUGCAUGGCGCCGAGUGCCGCGUCAUGCCCAGGCUAUGGUUCGGGGUGUGACAAGACAACUUCGAGGGCCUUCUCAGUAGGUUGCAUAGGAUCAGCGGAUAGUCGGCAAGCUUUAUUUGUUCCGGACUUGCCUGGUCUUUUGGGCAUGAUAUUAUGUUUACGUUUAUGUAUAUCUUGGGUAUUACGGGGCCAUGUCCCGACCACUAUGUUAUAUUAUGCUCACUCCUAGAGGCUCAUAGACAGGUGUUAUAUGUACAGAUGUUACAUGUGGCCUUGCCGUCCUUAGUUUGGUACUAGUGUUGUUGUUGUGGCCUUGUUGGCCAUGUGAUCAUAUGUAGAUAUUAGUGGUAGCCUUGUCGGCUUGCGUUUAUGUAAGUAUAUUACUGUGUUGGGCCUUUUCUGUGUA